rnacentral:pre_miRNA from 1 species
UAUAAGUGCAGCCAUAAGUUUCCGUGCCCAACGUUUGACUGUCCAUCUUAUUUGAAAAGUUAAGUCACGCAUAAAGUACUAUUCAUAUUUUAUCAUCUAAUAACAAUAAAAAUACUAAUCAUAAAAAUAUUUCAAAUAAGACGGAUAGAACUGCGCUUAUU